GACCUCGCUGGCGCAACGGUAGCGCGCGUCUGACUCCAGAUAAGAAGGUUGCGUGUUCAAAUCACGUCGUGGUCA